GCAUUAAUGGAUUAUUAUGAUUUAUAUAUUUAUAUAGUGGGUUUUAGUGAAUACACGUAAAUACAAAUAAAAAUAAUUCUUCACACAAGUUCAACACAAAAGGUUCCUGGAAAAGGUUUAAUAAAGUAAAGUGAAUGUAAUCAGUAUGUUUGGUGUAAUGUCAGAUCUUUGUGUGGAUUAGAUCAGAAGUGAUAAAGACUCAAACGUGUUCAGCGGUGUUCCUGUAUUAUUAUUAUUAUUAUUAUUAUUAUUAUUAUUAUUAUUACUGCACGUUGAUACAGUUUCUUCACACACUUCCAGCCUGUUCCUCUGUUUAACACACACACACAUACACACACAUACACAAACAAACACAAACAUACACAUACACAAACAUAUAUAUACACAUACACACACACUCACACAUACACAAACACACACACACACAUAUACACACACACAUACACAAACAUAUAUAUACACAUACACUCACCCACAUACACAAACAUACACACACACACACACACACACACACAUAUACACACACACAUACACAAAGAUAUAUACACACACAUACACAAACACGCGCACACACACAAGGUUCACGGUAAAGGUUUAGACCCUACACAAAUAAUAAUAAUAAUAAUAAUAAUAAUAAUAAUAAUAAUAAUAAUAAUAAAACUCCAACAUAAAGUUUUAGUGAAACUCCGGCGGGAAGUUUCUUUCUUUCUUUCUUUCUUUCUUUCUUUCUUCACCUUUUCUUUCUUUUUUCUUUUUUGUCUUUUUGCUCUCAUGACAAAUAAAAAAUGGCGGUCAGUGCACUGUCUUUCCGAAGUUUGUUCUCUCGGUCAAAACUGGAGUCAAAAACAAACAAAAAAAGAACAAACAAAAAUAAUAAUUUAAUUUAAAAAAAACAACAAAAAAACAAAAACAAAACAAAAAAAACGACUAAACACAAACCGCUCGCGCUGUUCCGCGGGUAAAUAAUACUGAUUAUUCUCCGCGCGCAUGAAUGGAGAAGGGGGAAAGAGAGACGGGGGGAAAAUACCGACACACGCACGCACGCACGCACACACACACACACACACACACGCACGCGUGAGUGUGUACAGAAGGAGAAAAUGCGGUGAAUGCGCGCGGAGUGAAGGAGUAAAGGGAAGAAUGAAGAUGGGAUGAAGGGAGGCAGAAGUGGAGGAGUGAAGGGAUGAAGGAGUGGAGGAGUGAAGGGGUGAAGGAGUGAAGGAGUGGAGGAGUGAAGGAGUGGAGGAGUGAAGGAGUGAAGUAGUGGAGGAGUGAAGUAGUGGAGGAGUGAAGUAGUGGAGGAGUGAAGCGGCUCGAACGCGCGUCGGCUCGCAGUCACUUACUUUUCUGUGUCCUGUGACAUGAUGAUGUCUUUUGGACUCCUCGCCGAUAAUUCCUGGAGAAACUGGACUUUCAGCAGCCCUGAUUCCAUUGGUCGAGGUGUGUAAGGAGGUCGGGCUGUGAUUGGCUGAGCCAGCACAGGUCCUGAAGGCCAGGAAGUGAAAUCACAGAGAAAUGAUACCAACUGAACGAAAUGUACGUCAUGUUUCCAUAAUAGUUUUCAUUUAAAUAUAUAUAUAUAUAUAUAUGUGUGAAUAUAUUAAUAGUUAACGCUCAAGGAGAGAAACAAGCAGUUUAAUAUCCGUGACUGUAUUAGUGAUUACUUUAGUAUUAUUUAUAGAAGUUAUUUGUAAUUCAUUGUUUCUUUAAUGUUUUUAGGAUUCACAUUUAAUCACAUUUAAAAAAAAAAAAAAAAAAAAUUCUUUCGAAUUGUUUUAAUUUCCCUCAAGUUUUAGACCAAACACUUUUCUCAGAGUUUUCCAGCUUUAUUCCUUUUUUUCUUCUUUUUUAGAAAUGUUCUUGUCUUUUCUUAGGUGCUUAACCUCACGGGGAAACAUAACACACGCCGAGGAAAGCGCUAUCUGCCUUCUUCCACACACACCAGCUAACAGAUCAUCACUGUGAUUGACAGGUGAGAGAGAGUAAGCCCCUCCCACCCACAGAGCAGGUCACACCUUUCCCUCUCUCACCUUUUUUGAAGUUGAAGUUAAAGUCACAAGUUCGAAUCCUGAAGAUGUCACAUGGCCGGAAGGCAAGAGACCGAAACCGGCGGUGUUUUCUGGGUGGGAGGGGCUUACUCUCCCACGCCCCUGUCAAUCACAGCGACACGAGCCAAUCACAGGCAUCUGUGAGCUGGAGUAUGAGGAAGAGGACGAGAAGAGGAUACUGUAGACAGUGCCUUCCUGCGAGUUUAGAGUUCUUACUCUGUACUUCAUCGAGUUAAUCCACUCUUUUCGUUUAGAAUUUCACAGAUUUAUGAAUUUAAACGUUCACCUCUUUAAAAAUGUUUUGUUUUUCACGCUUUUAAGAAGGUUCCCUCCCGUUUUAAAGUCUUUUUAGAAGUGAUUUCUGCAGAUUUUUAAUCUCUGAUUAACACGGAACACCCACACCACCACCAUUCCCUCAACUCGUCCAAUCACUCGCCUGCAGUAACCACUUCAUCCUGUAUUCGUAAAUAUUUAUCAUAUGUGCGGCCAAUUUCAAGACAACUACCUCAGCGUACUGUUGCACGGCACAAAUACGCAAUAUUUCUAUACUUUUUUAAAAAUAUUUCCCUUUUUCUAGUCGUAUGGAAGUAAUUGUGGUCUGUGUAAACUGUAUUUUAUGUCACGGACAGUCGUAAAAAGCCGUACUGUGUACGCUUGUGUGCGUGACGGUCGAAGGAUUGAGGUAAAAGUAGAUUUGGGAUCGAGUCGUCAGCGAUCAGCGACGGGCAGCCCUGAGACCCGACACACACGGGGUUUAUCCUGCGCCGCUCGGCGGGAAGCGAGUUUGAUGUGCAGGUGAGCGAGGCUGAAAGGACAGCGUGAUGUCAUGGAGUUGAUUCCGUUGCCGCUUGUGCAACUCGUCGUGAUGUGACUUGCCCUCCACUUAACUGUCAGCGUUAUUUCCCAGAAAUUAGCGAGGGCCGAGUGCCAUUCUCCCACGGUGCUGAGCUGAGAAAGCUUCCACGGAUCAGGCACGGACACGCCGCCAGACCUGACCAGGUAAACCUAACGCCUUCGACACGACACGACCGACACCUCGGGGUUCUACUGAUCCACUCCUGUACCACACACUGGUCUCCUUUCUGAGCUCUCGCUCAUCCCAUGUACGAUCAGACCCGUCACACCUGCUCCGCCCUCCGUUCUCCGUCGGGUUUCAGCCAGGCUCCAUCGGAGAACCCUUUUAAGUUGCACAAGGAACCUUUUACUCUCAAGUUCUUUAGAGAACCUUCUAUUUACUGGUGCUUUAAAGAACCCUGUAAAGAUAUUUCUUCACAGCAGUGCCACAAGCAAACAUGUUAUCAUCGGUUCUCUAACAAAACAAAAAAAACCCUUGGUUAGUGCUUUAAGGAAGCAAAGUAAGGCUCUUAAGAGUGCUGCCUGAGAGGAGAACCUUUUCCAGUCCCACAAAGAACCCUAUAGAGUAUGGUUCAUGUUAAUGUGUUAAGCGAUGAUACCUUGAAGAUCCAAUACACUGCUCUGAAGAUCCUAUAACGAAACAUAACGAACCUCUUUAAUCUCCACGGAGCCGUACAGCUCAGCUCAGGAGCCCUGCAGUGAAAGAUGGUUCCCAUGGUGCUGUAAAGACCCAGAGAAGAGCCUUUAUUUUUAAGAGUGUGAGCUACGUGUGGUGCUAGACAGCUGUUUUAGCUACUUAAUGAAUAUUAACGAACAUUAUCACACACUCGUCGUAAUACGUUAUCGUCGCUAUAGUAACAGUUCAUUCACAGGAACAGCGGUGUACGGCUGCUGUAACGUAAGAGAGAACAGGAACUCACUUUAAAGGUUAAACUUUAAAGGAAAUCUAAUAGGAAAACUGUUUUCUGGUCCGGAAUGCUUGUUUGUGUGUAGGUCCUGGGGGCGGAGCUUUGUGAUCAUGGGCGGGAAUAGGUGGGGGUGUGUGUGGUUUCAAGAAGUUUAAAAAAAAUAUAUUUCAAACAUUUUAACUAAACGGUUAGAGAGCUAAACAUGUGGUAUAAAAUGGACUAAUCUUACCUAGUACACCUUUAAAUGUAACUAUAAACGGAUAAAAAUUACGAUGUGUUGUUCUGUAAUAAACAAAAAGUUGUUUACGGACUGUGUUUUAGGAGUCAGGAUCUGGAGGCUCGGAGUUCAGGACUCGGUCCAGUGUGUGUGUGUGUGUGUGUGUGUGUGUGUGUGUGUGUGUGUGUGUUAGUGCAUUAGAACCCCUGAUCUGCGCUGGACCUUCGGGUCCUCUGCGUAAACACAGCUGCAUUGUGAUCUGGAGGCUGAGGGGCGACACCUUCAGCACCUAAACACACACACCUUUGUUUUCAGGCGUCUGAGACAAAGCACUCGGUCAGUGGAGGAGAUAAUCAGAUUUACUGAGAUCAGAUAAACAUCUCAGUAUCCUGACCUCACACACACACACACACACACACACACACACACACACACACACACACACCUGGUCUGAUCUGUAAUACAAACCUGCGAUAACAUUCAUCAGGCUUUCAUGGCGGUUCUGUCUGAUACACACCAUGUUGUUGAGUCUGAUGUUCAGUCUGAUGCUGAGUCUGAUGUUCAGUCUGAUGUUCAGUCUGAUGCUGAGUCUGAUGUUCAGUCUGAUGUUCAGUCUGAUGCUGAGUCUGAUGUUCAGUCUGAUGCUGAGUCUGAUGUUCAGUCUGAUGUCCAGUCUGAUGUUGACAGAUUGAUGCACAUUGAAAGUUUUUAGGUUAUUGUUCUAAAAAUAAAGAAAACCUUUUCUCUUUAUUAUUUGUUUGUUUGUUUGUUUGUUAUGUCAUCCUGUGUUUACUACAACACUGCGGAG
ensembl:lncRNA